GACGAACGCUGGCGGCGUGCCUAAUACAUGCAAGUAGAACGCUGAAGGAGGAGCUUGCUCUUCUGGAUGAGUUGCGAACGGGUGAGUAACGCGUAGGUAACCUGCCUGGUAGCGGGGGAUAACUAUUGGAAACGAUAGCUAAUACCGCAUAACAGUAGAUGUUGCAUGACAUUUACUUAAAAGGUGCAAUUGCAUCACUACCAGAUGGACCUGCGUUGUAUUAGCUAGUUGGUGGGGUAACGGCUCACCAAGGCGACGAUACAUAGCCGACCUGAGAGGGUGAUCGGCCACACUGGGACUGAGACACGGCCCAGACUCCCACGGGAGGCAGCAGUAGGGAAUCUUCGGCAAUGGACGGAAGUCUGACCGAGCAACGCCGCGUGAGUGAAGAAGGUUUUCGGAUCGUAAAGCUCUGUUGUAAGAGAAGAACGAGUGUGAGAGUGGAAAGUUCACACUGUGACGGUAUCUUACCAGAAAGGGACGGCUAACUACGUG
rnacentral:rRNA from 1 species